UGCAUGUGUGCAGGUGUGUGAGCAUGUGUGUGCAUGUUCAUGGGUAAGCAGGCAUGUGUCCUGGUGUGCAGGUGCAUAUGAAGGCUAGAGGAUGAUACUGGGUGUCUUCCUCAAUGGUUCUUCACCUUUUUUUUUCUUUUUUUGAGACAAGGUCUCUCAUUAAAACCGGAGCUCACCAGAUCAACCAGACUGUCUGGCCAGCACAUCACCAGCUCUGGAAUUACAGGAUUACAGGAGUCUUGGCAUCUUCAUAGCUGUGUAAUCUCAUCCAGGGAAUCAUAGGUCAUUUGGAUGACGGCUUGAACUCAAGUCUUUGCCUGUGUCUCUAUUUUGUGUCUUAGAUAACAUCAUUUAGAGGGAAUUGAGAAUGAAUUUCUGGAGACCCCUAUUCCCGAUUGAUAAGACAUGAAGUGGAGAUUCCCAAGCAGAACUGGAGUACCACUUUAGGUACCUGUAAGUUAAUUAAAGUACUCUGUUACAUUUCUGA